ACGCAAUAGAUACCCGGGUAGUCCAUGCCGUAAACGUUGGGCACUAGGUGUGGGGGACAUUCCACGUUUUCCGCGCCGUAGCUAAACGCAUUAAGUGCCCCGCCUGGGGAGUACGGCCGCAAGGCUAAAACUCAAAGGAAUUGACGGGGGCCCGCACAAGCGGCGGAGCAUGCGGAUUAAUUCGAUGCAACGCGAAGAACCUUACCAAGGCUUGACAUGAACCAGACCGGGCUGGAAACAGUCCUUCCCCUUGUGGGUUGGUUUACAGGUGGUGCAUGGUUGUCGUCAGCUCGUGUCGUGAGAUGUUGGGUUAAGUCCCGCAACGAGCGCAACCCUCGUUCUAUGUUGCCAGCACGUGAUGGUGGGGACUCAUAGGAGACUGCCGGGGUCAACUCGGAGGAAGGUGGGGACGACGUCAAAUCAUCAUGCCCCUUAUGUCUUGGGCUUCACGCAUGCUACAAUGGCCGGUACAAAGGGUUGCGAUACUGUGAGGUGGAGCUAAUCCCAAAAAGCCGGUCUCAGUUCGGAUUGGGGUCUGCAACUCGA
rnacentral:rRNA from 1 species